CAGACCUGAUAUUUGUUGUAGACAACUGAGUAGAAACUGCAAUAAAUCCUAAACUUAGUGGCUCUAUGGGUAAAAGGUGGACAUUUUAUGAACACAUCGAUGUGUCUUCUUUAAGGGAAGGUCAGCAGCCAACGAGUACAGAGACAACGGGGAAUUGUUAGAAAACGAGGGCCACCUGAGUUGAGAAAAGCUAUUCAAUGAAGUGCCUGGCAUAAGGAUGAAGCUUCCCAAAUGGAUGAGUAAAUUAAUUGGUGUAAAGUAGUGUGUGUUCAAAGAGCACUCAGGACCUCAGGUGUUUGGGUGAGAGGAGACAGCUCUAUGAAACUCUGCUCAGUUCUUAUGGCUGUCACCCAAACAGUGUGAGCACUGGGAAUUAUUAGCAAAGGAGUAAAAAGCAAAAGGGGGGAAAUGGCUAAAGCAAUUUAAAGCAAUUUUUUUUUUUUUAAUUGGAAAUUUGGUGUGAAUCAGAACAAGAGGAUGUGAGGCUAGUAAUAUCCAGAACAGCAUGAGCUGCAAAGGGAUAUGAGAACAUGAAGAAGGUCUCUGAAGAGUAAUGAAAUCCUGUAAUGGGAUCUAAUGGCCUUGGCUUCUGGGACGUUCCCAAACCUGAAAGAAACUGGAUGCUUUUAACAUCCCACAGUUUUCAGCCCGUGGAGCAGGUAUUCCGGGUGGCAUCUCUGUGAUUUUGUACCAUUUCUAAUAUCUGCAUUAGAGCUUAUGUAUUUGAAAUAUAAACCAGAUCUCA